GUUUUUGUAGCUUAAAUAGUAAAGCAAGGAGCUUUUAACUCCUAGAUAUAAUAGUUUAUCAAAGACUC
rnacentral:tRNA from 1 species